AACGAACGCUGGCGGCAUGCCUAACACAUGCAAGUCGAACGAGAUCUUCGGGUCUAGUGGCGCACGGGUGCGUAACGCGUGGGAAUCUGCCCUUUGGCUCGGAAUAACAGUUGGAAACGACUGCUAAUACCGGAUGAUGACGAAAGUCCAAAGAUUUAUCGCCAGAGGAUGAGCCCGCGUAGGAUUAGCUAGUUGGUGUGGUAAAGGCGCACCAAGGCGACGAUCCUUAGCUGGUCUGAGAGGAUGAUCAGCCACACUGGGACUGAGACACGGCCCAGACUCCUACGGGAGGCAGCAGUGGGGAAUAUUGGACAAUGGGCGAAAGCCUGAUCCAGCAAUGCCGCGUGAGUGAUGAAGGCCUUAGGGUUGUAAAGCUCUUUUACCCGGGAUGAUAAUGACAGUACCGGGAGAACAAGCUCCGGCUAACUCCGUGCCAGCAGCCGCCGUAA
rnacentral:rRNA from 1 species